UCAGAUAGAGGCGCGGAACUCAAGAGUACGCGUACGUUCACAAGGCUAUUGACGUACGCAGAAAGGGUGUUCCGCCGAAAUGAAAAGCGCGCGCCUUGAUCCGCUUUUCGUUGGGCUGUCGGGAAAUACCCGCCGGACUGUCACUUACAGUGGAGCGCUAUCG
rnacentral:ncRNA from 1 species